UCGGGAAUUUUGGGCAAUGGGGGCAACCCUGACCCAGCAACGCCGCGUGAGGGAUGAAGGCCUUCGGGUCGUAAACCUCUGUCGAGAGGGAAGAACGGCAUCCGGUCCAAUACACCGGGUGUUUGACGGUACCUCCAAAGGAAGCGCCGGCUAACUCCGUGCCAGCAGCCGCGGUAAUACGGAGGGCGCAAGCGUUGUUCGGAAUCAUUGGGCGUAAAGCGCGUGUAGGCGGUCGGGUUAGUCGGUUGUGAAAUCCCGGGGCUCAACCCCGGAACUGCAGCCGAAACUGCCCGGCUAGAGUCCCGGAGAGGGUGGCGGAAUUCCCAGUGUAGAGGUGAAAUUCGUAGAUAUUGGGAGGAACACCGGCGGCGAAGGCGGCCACCUGGACGGUGACUGACGCUGAGACGCGAAAGCGUGGGGAGCAAACAGGAUUAGAUACCCCCGUAGUCC
rnacentral:rRNA from 1 species